rnacentral:rRNA from 1 species
UACGGAGGGUGCAAGCGUUAUCCGGAUUUACUGGGUUUAAAGGGUGCGCAGGCGGAUAUGUAAGUCAGUGGUGAAAUCUCUGGGCUUAACCCGGAAAUUGCCAUUGAUACUAUAUAUCUUGAAUGCUGUGGAGGUAAGCGGAAUAUGUCAUGUAGCGGUGAAAUGCUUAGAGAUGACAUAGAACACCUAUUGCGAAGGCAGCUUACUACGCAUAUAUUGACGCUGAGGCACGAAAAGCGUGGGGAGCAAACAGG